CUGAGGAUUCUGGUUUGAGCUGCGGUCGACAAUGGACGUUAACUCAUAAUUAGAAAUGUUAGUUUAGUCUUGUGAGAGGACCAAAAUUUUUACAAAAGCUCCAUUUGAUCCUGCAGAGAAGCUGUUACUUGCCUGGCUUGGCUCCAUAAUGUCAGAUUAUUUGAAUCAGAUGCCGCAGCGGCAGCAGAUAAUACCACAACAGCUGCAGCAGAUAAAGCAACAGCUGCAGCAGAUAAUACAACAGCA